rfam:Nasonia vitripennis chromosome 1, whole genome shotgun sequence.
CGAUACAUCAAAUUGGUUGUGGAAUGUCUCGUCUUUCCAUAUCACAGCCAUUUUGAUGAGCUUGG